CCUACGGGAGGCAGCAGUGAGGAAUAUUGGUCAAUGGGCGCGAGCCUGACCCAGCCAAGUAGCGUGAAGGAUGACUGCCCUACGGGUUGUAAACUUCUUUUAUAAAGGAGUAAAGUGAGCCACGGGUGCCUUUUUGUAAGUACUUUAUGAAUAAGGAUCGGCUAACUCCGUGCCAGCAGCCGCGGUAAUACGGAGGAUUCGAGCGUUAUCCGGAUUUAUUGGGUGUAAAGGGAGCGUAGAGGGGUUGUUAAGUCAGUUGUGAAAUCUUGAGGUUCAACCGUAAAAUUGCAAUGGAUACUGGUGAUCUUGAGUACAGGUGAGGAAGACGGAAUUCGUGGUGUAGCGGUGAAAUGCGUAGAUAUCACGAAGAACACCAGUGGCGAAGGCAGCUUACUGAACAGCCACUGACAGUGAGGCGCGAAAGUGUGGGUAGCAAACAGGAUUAGAUACCCUAGUAGUC
rnacentral:rRNA from 1 species